rnacentral:rRNA from 1 species
AGCAGCCGCGGUAAUUCCAGCUCCAAUAGCGUAUAUUAAAGUUGUUGCAGUUAAAAAGCUCGUAGUUGAAUUUCGGGAUCAAUACGUCGGUCGUGCUUUCGGGUACGUACUGGCGUCAUUGGUUUCUCCUUUCUGACGAACCAUGAUGUCAUUAAUUUGGUGUUAUGGGGAGUUAGGACUGUUACUUUGAAAAAUUAGAGUGUUUAAAGCAGGCUCGCGCUUGAAUACAUUAGCAUGGAAUAAUGAAAUAGGACGUUGAUCCUAUUUUGUUGGUUUCUAGGAUUGACGUAAUGAUUAAUAGGGAUAGUUGGGGGCAUUAGUAUUCAAUUGUCAGAGGUGAAAUUCUUGGAUUUAUUGAAGACUAACUACUGCGAAAGCAUUUGCCAAGGAUGUUUUCAUUAAUCAAGAACGAAAGUUAGGGGAUCGAAGACGAUCAGAUACCGUCGUAGU